rnacentral:lncRNA from 1 species
UUUGGUCGAUUAUAUUUCUUUGAUCCCUUUAUUUAUUGGACUAGCGACAUCAAGAUAUAGAUAAAUUUUGUCAUCAACCACUAUACUCACAAUAAAGUUCAGUUAAAGCCAUUUAAUUUCAUAUAUAUUUGUUAUGGUCUAUCUCUUUUAGUUUAAAAGAUAAAAGGGGCCACUUCUAGGUGGGACACCCUGUUUGAAUGACCCUGUUUGAAUGGAUGUUGCUCGCAAAUGUUAAAUAAUAACUCCAUGGAAACUCCAUGGUGUACGAUUUAGGAAAUCACGUAUUGGCAACUUUCCCUAUUUAUCAUUUAUUAAUAAAAAUGUUUCAGCAAGUAAAAGUCAUAUGAGCAGCAAGUAAAAGUCACGGCCAAAGUUGGCUUUCUGAAAACGCUCGGCUAUUUGUCAUAAGUUUUAAAAAGUUGAAAAUGAAUCAAUAGCGAAUUCGGGAGAUGCCAAAGGUGACAUAUGAUCACAGACUAAAAUUAAUUUAAUAUAAUGUCAACCGAUCAGUCGAGAUCGAUAUGCGUGGCUGGAACGAGAGUGUGAUGUGAAAACGUGGUACAUGUAUGAUUUUCAACAUUUUUCGCCAUGAAGUACCGCUAUGAAAAAUUUGGAAAAAGUAGAUGUUAAAGCAGACAUUUUAAGGUUUUCUUUAAAAAAAAAUUG